UCCAGCGCCACGUGACGCGGUCCCGAUCUCCCGCUGCCGGCCUCGAGUCUCGGCCAGGCUCCACGGCUCUGCCCCCACUUGGAGACUGGAAAAGCGUCUGGAUGGCGCUGCGGGCCCAGCGCGGGCCAGCGCCCCUGUGGCUCCUGCAACGCUCAGCAUGGCCCGCGCCCCCUUGGCUCCUGCAAAGUCCAGCAUCGGCCAGCGCCCCCUUAGCUCCUGCGGACUGACCCUUAUGGGGCUGUGCUGCCCGCUGCCCCCGUGGUGUCAGGGGCCGAGGCCGCGCUGUGGGUGGUUUCUGGUGAUGAUGGCGUCAUGGACUCAAGUGGUAACAAGUGGGCCGAUCACAUGCUGGCUCCCUGGCCCUGCAGCAGUAUCUCAAGGCUGCUAGUCCACGUGUGUAAGAGCAGUCUUCAGGGACAGCCUGGAUUUCGAAGUCCCAGCUCAGCCUUAGACCUGGCUACUUGAAGGAAGUUUGAAGGCCACCAUCGGUGGCCCUCAGGAUGACUUGGGCUGGGGUUUGUUGAUAUUUCUCCACAAGAUUCUGUGGCUAUUUGUGGAUCUGAGGGGGCAGAGAAUGGAGAAUGAGCUCAUCCUAUGAAGCAUCAGUGGUCCUGCUCUCUGCUGCCUGCCCAGAGCAUCAUGGAACUGUUCACUCCUGUGUGACAUCGUCGGGGACUAAGGGCUUGCAGCCUUGACGGCAGUACCUCAAGAAGACUGCUGCUCCUUUCAGAAGUCUGCCUGUUCUGCUCCCCUCUCUGUCUGGUGAAUCCUCUUACCUGUACCUCGGGCCUGU